rnacentral:lncRNA from 10 species
UUUAGAAACAGGGUCUCACUAUGUUGCCCAGUCUGGUCUUGAACUCCUGGUGUCAAUUGAUUCUUCUGUCUCAGCCUCUGAAAGUGCUGGGAUUACAGACUCAGAUGAAACUUGCAAAUUGAUGCAGGAAAUCUACCCGCCAACCUAUUUAUCUUUCUCUCAUCCCAGAUCACAAAAGUGACAUCACACUGGAGAUAUUUUGUUGUGUGUUUUCUUCUACCUAGGCUAGAAAUUGAAACAUUCUCCAUUGUGGCAGAAAUGGCUGGUUGAGUUACAAAGACAUGAGCUCCCCUUCCACAGUGGGGAGCUGUUGCUGAGAAGCAGUUGCCCAGCCAAGAACUGCAUCUUCCAGCCCCUAUGCAGCUAUGUAGGCAGGAUGUUACCACUUUUGGUAAAGUGUAAUAGGAACUGAAGUGACGUGCCACUUCUGGGCCAAGGAGAUUAAGUAUGUGCUUAACUAUGUGCUUCCCCCAUACUUUCAUUCAUUUCAUUCAUUUCCAAUUUAACUCGGAGGCCACUCUUGUACUUUUCCAUUGCCAUGAGAAAACAUGACAUCUGGAUAACCUGCUGGUCCCAGGAGGAGAACAAAAGACACAUGGAGCAGAGCCACCCCAGCCUCCCCAUGAUGUGAAGCUGUACACUGAAGCAGAGCUACCCCAAUUGGCCUGCAAACUUGCGAUUAAGAUAUAAAUGAUUAUUGUUGUAUUGCAUUAAGUGUGCAAGCUAAUGUACGCAAAGUACAUGUAAUUGAGUAUGGAAAGACAGAUGUGUCUCAGAAAGAAUUGUGCCUGCUUUAUUUCUCUUAGCAUUUUGUCCUCUAGGGAUGUCCAUAUUGUCAAAAAUGGCAGGAAUUCCUUCUACUUAAAGGCUGAAUGAUAUUCUGUUUUCUUUAUUAUUCAUACAUUGAUGAAUACUUCAAUUGUUUUUAUGUCUUGGCUAUUGUGAAUAAUACUAUAAUCAACAAAGAAGGGCAAAUAUCUUUACAAAGUGAUCUCAUUUAUUUUUUUGAGUGGGGUGGGUAUUGAUCCAGAAUAGAAAGAAAAAUACUCCAUGAUCUCACUUACAUGUGGAAUCUAAAGAGAAAGAAACUAAAUACAUAGAAACAGAGAGUAGAAUGGUAGUUACCAGGGGCAGGGGGUGGAGGAAAUGGGAAAUUGUAGGUGCAAAGCUGCAAUUAUAAAGAUUGAAUAAAUCUAGAAAUCUAAUAGUAGCAUGAGGACUGUAGUUAAUAAUAUUGUACUAUACACUGGAAAUUUGUCACAGGGUAGAUUUUAGAUACUCUUAGCACCAGAAAAGAAAAAAGUAACUAUAUGAGAUGAUGGAUAUGCUAAUUUCCUUGACUAUAGUAAUAACUUUACUGUAUAUGUCAAAACAUCAUGUUG